rnacentral:rRNA from 1 species
CCUACGGGAGGCUGCAGUGGGGAAUAUUGCACAAUGGGCGCAAGCCUGAUGCAGCCAUGCCGCGUGUGUGAAGAAGGCCUUCGGGUUGUAAAGCACUUUCAGCGGGGAGGAAGGCGUUAAGGUUAAUAACCUUGGCGAUUGACGUUACCCGCAGAAGAAGCACCGGCUAACCCCGUGCCAGCAGCCGCGGUAAUACGGAGGGUGCAAGCGUUAAUCGGAAUUACUGGGCGUAAAGCGCACGCAGGCGGUCUGUCAAGUCGGAUGUGAAAUCCCCGGGCUCAACCUGGGAACUGCAUUCGAAACUGGCAGGCUAGAGUCUUGUAGAGGGGGGUAGAAUUCCAGGUGUAGCGGUGAAAUGCGUAGAGAUCUGGAGGAAUACCGGUGGCGAAGGCGGCCCCCUGGACAAAGACUGACGCUCAGGUGCGAAAGCGUGGGGAGCAAACAGGAUUAGAUACCCCAGUAGUC